rnacentral:rRNA from 1 species
UACAGAGGGGGCAAGCGUUGUUCGGAAUUACUGGGCGUAAAGGGCGCGUAGGCGGCCUGUUAAGUCGAACGUGAAAUCCCCGGGCUCAACCCGGGAACUGCGUCCGAUACUGGCAGGCUUGAAUCCGGGAGGGGGAUGCGGAAUUCCAGGUGUAGCGGUGAAAUGCGUAGAUAUCUGGAGGAACACCGGUGGCGAAGGCGGCAUCCUGGACCGGUAUUGACGCUGAGGCGCGAAAGCCAGGGGAGCAAACGGG